CACAUAAGAUUUUUUUAAAAGAAUCUUAAAAAUAAAAGACCCUAACAGAAACAACAACAACACCUAAACAAAACAAACAACAAAACAAGUAACUACAGUCUUCAAUGGCUGCAGAGAUUGUAGCACUUAGACAAAAAAACACUAAUGCAACACAUUGACUUUGAACUCUGAAAAUGGAGCACAAUUCACGUGGGAGAACGGAAGGGGUGAGGGAAGACGAACAGAAGAGAGCCGCAGAGCCCAUCACGACACCUGGCUUGUUUGGGAAUCUCCAGAACUGAAGAGGAGGUCAAGAGGUGAACAUAGACCUCAAGCAACUGAUAAGCUCAUACUCAAAGGUCAGCACACUGACAAUAAAGAGAAACCAAAGCCCCAAGUCUGCUAAGUGCUUCCCUACUGCAGAAGGCCCUGGCCCCCUCUUACCGACCUGGUUGUGGCUGUGACAAUCCAAGAGGUCAUUGCUGAUAUAGGCUUGCAGGACCGUCUCCCUCUGCUCUCCAGGAUGGGACGUGGUCAAGCGCUGCAAAGAAAAACCAAAUAACAAACUCCUACAGAAGCAAGAGCUAGCCCCUGAAAGGAAAAGCUUAAACAAACACCCUGAGGCUCAGAAUUUGCCAUCUGAGGACAAGCAUGGUGUGCUUGGAAUACCCUAGUUUGCAGCACAAAGGCCAGAGCCAACAGACACAACACACAGGAGGAAGGAGAGGUCUUCAGGGGGAGGAAGAUGUUGCUGGCUGAUCUGAUCACCACUGAAGAGGGGACUGCUAAAGGAUUGUGCCAAGAAUGUCACAUGAGGGAAUUCCUGUGGAGCCAAGAGGCUGGAUGGGGCCCUGGAGAAGAAAACAGGCAAAGCCACUAACACCUACAUGCCUUCCUGAUUAUCUGGUUAAGAUGCCUGCUUUCUCCCAGCAAGAGGCCCAGGGAGUGGGCCCAUUGAGCCAGUGCUGAGUGGCAAACUCAGGCAACUGGGUGAGUGUGGUAACACAAACAGACACAAGUAAACCAGGGUUGGGGCAGCUCUUGAUGAUCACUCAGGCUGCCCACCCACCCUGGUCAGAAAGCCCCUACAAACAGAACAGGUACCGGGAGUUCUCCCCUUGGGCCCCAAGAAUUCCUCAUAGUUCCCAAUCAGGCAGAGUCCAGGAAGCACCACCAGAUGCUAAGUACCAGUGAGGACUGUUUCCACUCAAAGGUAGGGAAGCUGCUCAAAGAAUUCUGGUACCAGUGGAUCCUGAAAUAUGGGGGCCCACAAAGAAGCUUGACACUACGUUAUCGUGAGUUAGAAUACUCUGUUUGGUGAAAGGCUUUGAUCAGUAAUUCUCAAAGCUCUGGGCACCCCCCAAACUCUCGGAAUUGGAGGGGACAUGACUAUUUUCACACUGACUACACUAAGAUGCAUUCUGCCAUGCUUCUGACCACUUUCUCAGACUGUGUAGGUGUGACACUCGGAAGCCUAACAUAAAAGCAGGGUCUGAGAACCCAGGGCUCCUCCUUGGGGGGCACACAAUGAAGAGAUGAACAACGCCACUCUGCACACAUUUGGUUUGUUGUUUGAAAACCAGUUAUUGCUAUUUAUGUUAAUGUGUCAUUUAUUUAUUUUACAGGGAAUGAUAAAUUCUUAAUUUUUCUGUU